rnacentral:tRNA from 1 species
GUGCCCAUAGCUCAGGAGGUAAGACUGAUUGUCUGGCAAUCGGAGGGUUGCCGGUUCAAACCCUGCCCUGGGCAUG